UAACACAUGCAAGUCGAGGGGCAGCGGGAUUGAAGCUUGCUUCAAUUGCCGGCGACCGGCGGACGGGUGAGUAACGCGUAUCCAACCUUCCGUACACUCAGGGAUAGCCUUUCGAAAGAAAGAUUAAUACCUGAUGGUAUGAUGAGAUUGCAUGAUAGCAUCAUUAAAGAUUUAUCGGUGUACGAUGGGGAUGCGUUCCAUUAGGUAGUAGGCGGGGUAACGGCCCACCUAGCCAACGAUGGAUAGGGGUUCUGAGAGGAAGGUCCCCCACAUUGGAACUGAGACACGGUCCAAACUCCUACGGGAGGCAGCAGUGAGGAAUAUUGGUCAAUGGACGAGAGUCUGAACCAGCCAAGUAGCGUGAAGGAUGAAGGUCCUACGGAUUGUAAACUUCUUUUAUAAGGGAAUAAACCCUCCCACGUGUGGGAGCUUGUAUGUACCUUAUGAAUAAGCAUCGGCUAACUCCGUGCCAGCAGCCGCGGUAAUACGGAGGAUGCGAGCGUUAUCCGGAUUUAUUGGGUUUAAAGGGAGCGCAGACGGGUCGUUAAGUCAGCUGUGAAAGUUUGGGGCUCAACCUUAAAAUUGCAGUUGAUACUGGCGUCCUUGAGUGCGGUUGAGGUGUGCGGAAUUCGUGGUGUAGCGGUGAAAUGCUUAGAUAUCACGAAGAACUCCGAUUGCGAAGGCAGCACACUAAUCCGUAACUGACGUUCAUGCUCGAAAGUGUGGGCACCAAACAGGAUUAGAUACCCUGGUAGUCCACACGGUAAACGAUGGAUACUCGCUGUUGGCGAUAUACUGUCAGCGGCUUAGCGAAAGCGUUAAGUAUCCCACCUGGGGAGUACGC
rnacentral:rRNA from 1 species